AACGAACGCUGGCGGCGUGGUUUAGGCAUGCAAGUCGUACGAUCUACGGAUAGUGGCAAAAGGGUGAGUAACACGUGGGUAAUCUACCCCUAAGUUGGGAAUAACACCUCGAAAGAGAUGCUAAUACCGAAUAACACUUUAGGAACGUAUGUUCCUGAGGCUAAAGAUGGGGACCCCGCAAGGGGCCUAUCACUUAAGGAUGAGCCCGCGUCCUAUCAGCUUGUUGGUGAGGUAAUGGCUCACCAAGGCAUUUGACGGGUAGCUGGUCUGAGAGGAUGGUCAGCCACACUGGGACUGAGACACUGCCCAGACUCCUACGGGAGGCUGCAGUCGAGAAUCUUUCGCAAUGGGGGAAACCCUGACGAAGCGACGCCGCGUGGGCGAUGAAGGCCUUCGGGUUGUAAAGCCCUGUCACGAGGGGCGAACACAUGAUGGUUAAUAGCCUGAGUGUUUGACAGUACCUCGAGAGGAAGCCACGGCUAACUCCGUGCCAGCAGCCGCGGUAAUACGGAGGUGGCAAGCGUUGUUCGGAUUCAUUGGGUGUAAAGGGCAUGUAGGCGGCUUUUUAAGUUGAUUGUGAAAUCCCUCGGCUUAACCGAGGAACUGCAAUCAAAACUGAGAGGCUUGAGUGCAGAAGAGGAAAACGGAAUUCCCGGUGUAAGAGUGAAAUCUGCAGAGAUCGGGAGGAACACCAGUGGCGAAGGCGGUUUUCUGGUCUGCAACUGACGCUGAAAUGCGAAAGCUAGGGGAGCAAACAGGAUUAGAUACCCUGGUAGUCCUAGCCGUAAACGAUGGGCACUAGGUGUCGGGUAGCAAUACUCGGUGCCGCAGUUAACACAUUAAGUGCCCCACCUGGGGACUACGGCCGCAAGGUUGAAACUCAAAGGAAUUGACGG
rnacentral:rRNA from 1 species